UACGGAGGGUGCGAGCGUUGUCCGGAAUCAUUGGGCGUAAAGGGUGCGUAGGCGGGUCUUUAAGUCAGGGGUGAAAUCCUGGAGCUCAACUCCAGAACUGCCUUUGAUACUGAAGAUCUUGAGUUCGGGAGAGGUGAGUGGAACUGCGAGUGUAGAGGUGAAUUCGUAGAUAUUCGCAAGAACACCAGUGGCGAAGGCGGCUCACUGGCCCGAUACUGACGCUGAGGCACGAAAGCGUGGGGAGCAAACAGG
rnacentral:rRNA from 1 species